GUUGGCGUAGCUCAGUGGUACAGUGCGUGCUUCGUAUGUACGAUGUCCUGGGUUCCAUUCCCAGCUUCUCCC